rnacentral:ncRNA from 2 species
AUGAUUUUAGGGAUUAAGGGUGCUCGUCAGAGUUAAAAGGGAAUACAAUAACGCUUAUCUCAUUGAAGCGUAAAAUGUAGCUGCUCCCGCAACUGUAAGAAGCUUAUUUAAGUAAAAUACCACUGGCAUUAAAAGCUGGGAAGGUCGCUUAAGUCUAAGGCUCAGCCAGGAAACCUGCCUUUAAAUGUCAUCUCUU